UUGCCGGCCCCGCUGCCCUUCUGUAGCCAGGCAGCGUGGGGGGCGUGGCGCCUGAGCCGCGGAAGGAGAGCUGGAGUCCCACAGCUGCAGGGUGGGGCAGAGAGGUGAAAACUGCAGGCCGAAGAGAGGGGAGACACGGCCAGCGCUCGCUUUGGGGAGAUCACCUUGAAGCAGAGCCAAGGACAAUGUUCUAAGACCAGAAGUCUGUCCCCCUGGGGAACUGAGCCAAGCAUGUGGAGACAAACUUCAGUUCAUUCAGCAAACUCGUACUGAGAGGCCCUUGCUAAGCUUCAGGGAAUACGACCAAGACAAGCCCUACCUUCGUGAGGGUUAGAUAUAACUGAAGAAGAUACAAAAGGGCAAACAAGCAAGCACGUAAAUAAACGCAUUCACUACUGUGGCUCCUCAUCUGUAGGACAAACAUGACUGGAGCCCCACAUACCCACCCCCUGAAGACCUGAAUGAAGAGAAGCGGCUGGAUUUGGGGGCAUUUGUACCGUCAGGACCGUUCAGGCUAGCCGUGGAGGUUUCCAUUCAGCAGGCUGUGAGCCAGGCAGGCUUUGGGAGGGAGCAUGCUGCCUGGUCAGAGAGACCACUUCCCGAGUCCCUGAGGAGAUGGCAAGAAGACGGGGAGUGUUUGAUGUUGUCUGCUGUACCCGCGGUCUGAUACAGCAAGGAUUGCUCUUAUUGUUCCCACUUCAGGGAUGACGACCCUGGUCAGGAGGGACCCUGCUCAUAGCACACAGCUAUAGUGGUGGGGCCAGGCCAGGAGGGACAGCCGCUUGGAGUCGGUGUGGAGGGACCCCACACUCCAGUGAUGCAGGGGCUACGGCCUGAUUUCACACUUGUCCAGGGAGGCAGAUUCGAACCUGGUGGCAGCUUUCCACCCCCUAGACCUUCCUCCCAACACUCCUGAUGGAUCAUAUGACUACCAUGAGCUAUCCUGUAUUUGUGUCUUUGUGCUUCUGAAGAAUAGAUUCCUGGAAGUAGAGCUGCUCGGGUUCAAACCAUGGAGACCACGAGCUGCACUUACCAACGCUCCUACUUGCCACUAAUGUCUGAGAAUGUAUUUCCCCACACCUUGGCCAACAUGGGCUGUAACGAUUUAAUGUUGCCAGGGUGAUAGAGAACAAAAAUUUUGUUUUAAUUUUAAUUUUAAUUAUAAUUUCCUGAAUAUUACAUCCAAAGUUAAGCAUCCUUACAUCUGUUCAUCUUUGAUAUUUCUUUUAUCUGUGAAUUACUUUUUCAUAUACUUUGCCCACCUUGUUUGUUUCGUUUUUGAUCCUUUUUUUAUUGAUUUGUGGGAGCUCUUUAUAUGUACUGGAUAUUAUAUGUCUGCAUUUUCAGUUGCUUUAACCAUUUUCUUCCAGUCUAUCAUUUGUCUUUUAACUGUAUGUUAUUUUUGGACAAACAAGUUUUAAAUAUUUUGGUUAGUUAUAUUUCUAAUUCAUGCCCUUUUUAGGCCUGUAGAUUUUAUGUAUUAGUAAGGAAGUAUAUCCUACUAAGAUUGUAAGGAACUGUUUUUUUUUUAUCCUUACCUUUUGAAACCAUUUGUAAUUUAUUUUUUAUUAUGCUGUGGGAGUAUGCUAUAUAGAAUUUUUUAUAUAGAUAGCCAAUAGCCCCCAUCUUGUCAUUUAUUGACUAUUUCAUUGUUUUGCCACUGAAUUUAAGAAGCCAACUUUAUGAUAAACUGUUUUUCCAUAUGUACAUAAUAUGUUUCUAGAUUUGUUCCUCUAUUCUUUGGCUAUUUCUAUAGGAAUUCCCUGCUGAUUUAAUUGCUAUGACCUUUAAAAUAGUUGGAUAUCUCACAAGGGAAGUUAUCCCUCGUUAUUUUUCUUUUUCAAAUUUUUUGUCUACCUCAAGAAAUUUCCCUUCCAGGGAAAAGAAGCAUCUUGUCAGAUACCAUGAACAGUCUUACUGAGAUUUUGACUGGGGUCCCAUUGAAUUAUAGAUCAUUUAUGGGAGAACCCAUAUAUCUAACUCUUAUUGAAGGCUAUUCAGUAAAGCUUAGUAGCCUUUUUGUAUAGUUCUUAGACAUUUUAUUAGAUUUCUUUCUAGAUAUUUGGGAAUUUGUUGCUUUUAAGAAUGAGAGCAUUUUCAUUUCACUUUCUUAUUGGUGUUUGCAAGCAUGUAAUUAAGCUAUUGAUUUUUCUGUGCUGACCAUAUAUCUGGCUAUACUGCUAAAUUCUCUUAUUUGUUUGUCAAUUGAUUCUCUUGAGAAUUUUCUAGGUGGAUGAAUGGAUAGUCUGCAAGUAAUUUCAGUUUUGUCCCUUUUUUCCACUGUUAAUAUAUCAUAGCUUUGGCUAGAAUCUCCAAUAAAAAGGCUGAAUGAUGCAAUAAUGGGAAUACUGUUUCUUUUUAUUUUAUUAUCAAGUAUAAUUAUUACUGUGGAGUUCCAAUGUCCUUUAUCAAAUUAAGAAAGAAACUAAUUUGCUAGAAGCUUUGUUUUCUUAAUCAUAAAAGUAUGUAUGUUGAAUAUUUUCAAAAGAGUUUUGUUCUCUAUGAAAAUAAUUAUGUGGUUUUUCUUAUACUCUAAUAAAGCAGUGAUUUAAAUUGGUAGAGUUUUUUUCUAAAGUUGAACACACUUGUAUCUCUGAGAUGUCUUUUAAUAUACUGCUGAGUUGAAAUAACUCAUUAAAAAAAAAUAAAAACUCCAUCAAUUAAUUUUACAAGAUCAUACUCUAAAAGUGGUCUAAUUUAAAGUUAACAACAAAGGACACAUUAAUAAAAUCAUAACAUCUACUUAUUUUCAAGAUUUUUACCAAUUAAAGGAACAAAGAUAAAAACAAAAGUGGAAAGAAAGACACUUUCACAGAAACAUCUAGAGACAAAGAAAGACACAAAGAAAUGUAAAACUAAGGAAAAAAGAUUAGAGGAGAAAGGUGAGAAGACUUAUAAACAUAUUCAAAAGAGAUACAUCUAGAAAAGAUGAAAAGUAGAUAGAUGGCACCCAUGAUCAUAGAGAGAGGGACAAAGAGGGAGGAAGAGGGGGUGGGACAGCUGAGGGGAGGCAGGCAGAGAGGGGAGAAUACACUGCGACUGAAACAAAUGCAGAAUGAUUAUUGGACACUGGUCCUCCUGGGUGACCCUGUCCUCCACAUGGCCCUUCUGGUUUCUGUUUUAUAUGGUAUUUUCUUUAGGAGCUAUGCAUCUGUGUUCAUGAGGAAGAUUGACAUACAGUUUUAUUGUCCUGAACUGUACUCUUUUGUCUCCUGAAACAUUUCAUUUCUUGAUUAACUGCAUUGCUUUUACUUGUAUCUCAUUAAUUUCUACUUUUAUGUUAAUUCCAUCAUUCUACUUUUUUGGAAAUUUUAAAUGGUUUGUCAAUAGUUUCUUGUGUUGAAGGUUUAGUUCAUUUAUCUUUAAUCUUUCUUUUUUUUCUAAUAAAGGCAUGUAAGCCAUGCUUUUUCCUUUGAGUACUACUUUGGCAGAAAAUCACAUAUUUUGUGGUAUGGUAUUUCUGACAUAAAUCACAGAGAGAAUAAUCACCAACAUUAUUCAGACUAAAUAGUUUGGACAUUAUAUACUUUUAUUUUCCCUCUAAUUCAAGAGCUAUUAAAAUUUG